rnacentral:rRNA from 1 species
CCUACGGGAGGCAGCAGUGGGGAAUAUUGGACAAUGGGCGCAAGCCUGAUCCAGCCAUGCCGCGUGAGUGAUGAAGGCCCUAGGGUUGUAAAGCUCUUUUGUACGGGAAGAUAAUGACGGUACCGUAAGAAUAAGCCCCGGCUAACUUCGUGCCAGCAGCCGCGGUAAU